CCCAGAAUGGUUUGGGUUGGAAAGAACCCUAAAGCCCAUCCAGUGCCACCCCUGCCAUGGACAGGGACACCUUCCACUGUCCCAGGCUGUUCCAAGCCCCAGUUUCCACCUGGCCUCAGGCACUGCCAGGGAUGCAGGGGCAACCACAGCUGCUCUGGGCACCCUGUGCCGGUGUCCCAGAGCAGCCCUGUGCUCUGGCACUUCCUUCCUGCCUUGUUCUGCUGCACAGCCCAGGUGGCUGAAGCCUUCUGGCACUCUAAACACAGUCCCUGUGCCUGGGGCAGUGUCACAGGGCUCUGUCCUCUUACACUGCCCUGGUGCAUCAGUGUCCUGGGCUGUGUGCCAGUGCAGCUCCUCGCUGCCGGAGCAUCACCCACACCCUGGGGGUGUCCUCAGACAUGUCUCACUGUCCUGAGGGGCUGUCUGGGUGCACCUAUCCUGCUGUCCCUGUGUCCUGUUUCACUGCCCUGUGCACUGUCCCUGUCCUGUCUCACGUUGUCCCACUGUCCCUGUGCACUGUCAUUGUCCUGGUUCACUAUCCCUGUGCACUGUCCCACUGUCCUGCUGUCCAUGUGCCGCUGUCCCUGUCCCUCUGUCCUGUCCUGCUGUCCCUGUCCUUGUCCCUGUCCUGGUCCAACUCUCCCUGCCCCAUUAUCCCUGUCCCACUGUCCCUGUCCUUGUCCCUCUGUCCCUAUCUGUGUCCCUGUCCCCCUGACCCUGUCCCUGUCCCACUGUCCCUGUCCCUGUUCACCUGUCCCUGUGCCAUUGUCCCACUGUCUCUAUCCUGCUCUCCCUGUCCCUUUGUCCCUAUCCCUCUGUCCCUGUCCCUCUGUCCCUGUCCUCCUGACCCUGUCCCUGUCCCUGUCCCCCUGAUCCUGUCCCUGUCCCUUUCCCUCUGUUCCUGUCCCUGUCCCUGUCCCUGCCUCUGUCUCACUGUCCCUGUCCCUCUGCCUGUGCCUGUCCCUGGCCCUCUGUCCCUGUCCUUGUUCCUGUCGCUCUGUCCCUGUCCCUUUCCCUUUCCCUCUGUCCCUGUCCCUGUCCCUGUCCCUGUCCCUGUCCCUGUCCCCCUGUCCCUGUCCCUGUCCCUGUCCCUUUCCGUGCCCCUAUCCGAGUCCCUGUCCCUGUCCCUGUCCCUGUCCCCGUCCCGGGGGGGGGGGGGGGGGGGGGGGGGGGGGGGGGGGGGGGGGGGGGGGGGGGGGGGGGGGGGGGGGGGGGGGGGGGGGGGGGGGGGGGGGGGGGG
rnacentral:lncRNA from 1 species